GGAUCCAGACUUUGAUUCUGGCUCAGAUUGAACGCUGGCGGCGUGCCUAACACAUGCAAGUCGAACGCGAAAGUUUCUUCGGAAAUGAGUAGAGUGGCGCACGGGUGAGUAACGCGUGGAUUAUCUACCUACUGGUACGGGACAACAGUUGGAAACGACUGCUAAUACCGUAUACGCUGGUAACCGGGAAAGGGGGCCUCUUCUUGAAAGCUCUCGCCAGUAGAUGAGUCCGCGUUUCAUUAGCUAGACGGUGGGGUAACGGCCUACCGUGGCAACGAUGAAUAGCAGGCCUGAGAGGGUGGCCUGCCACACUGGGACUGGAACACGGCCCAGACUCCUACGGGAGGCAGCAGUGGGGAAUAUUGCGCAAUGGACGAAAGUCUGACGCAGCGACGCCGCGCGGAGGAUGAAGGUUUUCGGAUCGUAAACUCCUGUCANGAGGGGAGAACCUAUCAUGAAUAAUACUCAUGGUAAUUGACGGUACCUCUAGAGGAAGCACCGGCUAAUUCAGUGCCAGCAGCCCCGGUAAU
rnacentral:rRNA from 1 species